rnacentral:lncRNA from 1 species
UCUGCAAGUGUCUCAAGGCCAAAGACAGGCUGGUGGGAAAGCUCCAACCAGCAAGGCCAUAUGCUCCCCCUCCCCUACCUAAAACCCCAAAUAAAAACCCUUCCUUUUAGGUUUUUGGGGAGUUUGGGAUUUGAGCAUUAGCUACCCUCUCUCCUUGCUCAGCGCUGUGCAAAAAUAAAAUUCCUACUUUCUUCCACCACACCCAGAGUCAUAGAUUGGCUUGCUGUGCAACGAGUGAGCGAACUCACUUCAGUUUUGGUAACAAUUUGGUGACCCAGAUGGGACAAUGUCCCAGGUGGACGUCUCGCCUGGGGCACACCGGCCUCUGGCUAAAGGCCUCUCUUGGAAGCUGUCCUGCAGCUGCCUGAGCCCCUUGUCUCAGGGACAGCCCCAAGCGACUGGCUGCUAACCAGACGAUGUUGGCCCACGAUGCUUUUGCUUUGGUGGUGGAAGAAACUAGGUUUAGGACUCAGGAAGACGUCUCUUGACACAAUUGGAAACACUGGUUAUAUUACCAAGGCUUUGACUGGAACAUCAUAUUUGAAAAAACAUAUGGGCUUAAAUAUAACAAGACAGCUUUUGAAGAAUGAAGGUACAAGGAACCUCAAUAUUUCGGGGAACCUCAUGAAGAGAGGGAUUCACCCAAAUCUGCAGGUACUGCAGGCAGAAUGUGAUAACAGGUCCUUUGCUUGGCUUUCCUUGAGAGGCCUUUAAAGAUCAACCUGAGAUUUCUUAUAAGGUUCCAGCAAAGCAGAUUAAAAAGAGCCUAUAUGAUCAACUACUAUUCUUGCUGUACUUAUGUAAAUAAUUAUUCCAAAUUUAUUAAAACUAGACAUUGUGCAAACCAGUUAGUCUUAAUUUUGCUAUGUCUAGUGAAAUUGAGGGUGAUUUUAGGGAGGAAGAUUAUGUUUCAAUAGAAACUAUAAUUCAUGUUUAUAGAUAUUAGAUUUUAGUUUUUUCAAUUGUCCUUUUGAAAUUUUUGUUUUACUUCUGUUAACUAGACUGGAUCUUAAAUUCUUCAUCUCCUGAACUACCUGGCCAAAAACCUCCAAGCUAACAUUUUCAGGGUCUUUUUUUCCCCAUUAUUUUCAUUUAGAGUCAUUGAAAACUAAAUCUGCCCUUUUUCCUAAAGCCUUACAAACUGAAGCUGGAAGACCCAAUAUAAACUUAAGAGAGAUUCACGUCUACUGCUGUGUAAGCCACUCAAAAAGCCACCUGAUUGCUGCAUGACACCAUCAGAGACAUUUCAAACUGCAAAAGAUGCUUUGACUCUGACUUCUAGGAAUCUUGAUUGGCUGCCCCCUGGGCUCAGAAACUUGUUUAUAAUUUGCUCCAAUCAUUAACCUUGUUUUUCUCUUUAAGUUUCUCUAGAAAAUCUUCUUAUUAAAUACCUUGUUACUUACUUACAUGAUACAGGCCUACCUUCAGGAGCCCACCAGCAUCACUGCCUUAUUAAAAGACUGGUUCAAUGAGAUAAAACAACCUACGCCCCAUUUCAGCAGGAAGUAGCUAGAUGGGUCGCCACCCCAAAUCCCUAAAGAUUGACGGAUGGACAUAAAAUAGGGGGGAGUUGAUACCGACCCUGAUAUCAGUUUCCCCACAUUAAACCCAGCAUAUAUGGGGUUAAAACCAAAACACUCAUUCCCUGCUUACUCUCUGGCUUCCUGGCUCCAGAAUCCACUAUCCUCCAUGGAGAGAGACACCAUCAAGGACAAGCACCUGGACUAUCUCCUCCCGCAAAGAGAUACGGGCUGGUGGGAAAGCUGCUGACCAGCAGGGUCAUGAGCUGCCUCCUCUCUGCAAGUGUCUCAAGGCCAAAGACAGGCUGGUGGGAAAGCUCCGACCAGCAAGGCCAUAUGCUCCCCCUCCCCUACCUAAAACCCCAAAUAAGAACCCUUCCUUUCAGCUUUUCGGGGAGUUUGAGAUUUGAGCAUUAGCUGCCCUCUCUCCUUGCUCAGUGCUGUGCAAAAAUAAAAUUCCUACUUUCUUC